CGUGAUCAGCUUUACUUUCCUAUAAUGUUGUUCAUAUACCCAAACUCGAAGGAGUUUCACAUUAAGAAGAGCAGCAGACGCGGAAUAAUUUGUUCGAGCCCCUUGAAAUUCAUUUUACAAAUGCAUUUCUUGCAGUUCGAAAAUCUUUCUCUGCCAGGUGUUGAUUUUUGAAAUGUGAAGCUCAUUCGAUUUUGAAUAUAUGAGCAACAUUUCUUGAUAUGUAAGAGCAACGAAGUGCG
ensembl:ncRNA hpRNA:CR46340 hairpin RNA:CR46340